GGGCAAUUGGUCUAGUGGUCUGAUAUCCGCUUCGCAUAACCGCGUAGAUGCGGAGGGUCGUGGGUUCGAUUCCCACAUUGUCCA